GCCUUCGUGGUGUAGUGAUCAGCAUGCUCGGUUCGUAUUUGAGAGGUCCUUGGUUCGAGUCCCGGCGAGGCCA
rfam:Stegodyphus mimosarum contig127853, whole genome shotgun sequence.